UCCGCUAGUUCUUGCCGCGCUGCAACUCAAGACCCCGAGAAGGAUGCUGUCCUUGCCUUUGCCUGACGCGUCGUCUCUCCGGCUCCCCGUGGGAGCCGGAUUCUCACAGGCGCCGCGACGUGCGGUGGCUCGCCGCUGUCUCUGGAAGGAAGAUCAUGGUGAGUCUUCGUCGUCUUUGGUCUCUUAUCCGACCGACGUCCUGAGGGCCGUUCAGAAUUCCGGCGUCAUUGCUUGCCUCAGGGCGGAUAGCAUGGAGCUGGCAGUGGAAGCAGCACGUGCAGCUCUGAGUGGUGGUAUCUCUUUGUUGGAGAUCAUCAUUUCUACACCAGGUGUGUUCGAGGCAAUUCAAGAGCUUGUAAGAGAAUAUCCAUCAUCCCUUAUAGGAGCGGGUACAGUCCUCUGCUCCAAGGAUGCAGAACAUGCUGUACAAGCUGGGGCAAAAUUCCUAUUGAGUCCAGCAACUAUUAAGGAUAUCAUUGGCGAUUUGAGAAGCAGUUCUGUUCUUUAUCUUCCUGGAGUAAUGACCCCAACAGAAGUUUUAACUGCAUAUGUUGAGGGUGCCAGAGCUGUGAAGGUUUAUCCAGUUUCAUUACUAGGAGGCCCGCAAUACAUAUCAGCUCUUAAGAAGCCAUUUCCCAAUAUUCCAAUGGUUGCUUCUCAAGGCAUCACAAUAGAUUCAAUCGAACAAUAUAUUCAUUGUGGAGCUUCAGCAGUGGUUUUAUCUGAUGCUAUAUUUAACAAAGUAUCAGUGAGGCAACGAGAUUUUGACAGAAUAUGCCAAUUAGCUAGAGAUUCUGUUUCUCGAGCUAGCAAUGCCAUGCAGAGGAGGAAGAGAGAAAUGGAUCCUUGAUUUCCUGCAUCUAUUUUUCUCCAUACAUUACUCCGGAGUGGCCAUUGGUAAUUUGUUCUGGACAAGGCAGCAUCUGUUUCUACUACCAAAUGUGUGGAGUGAGGAAAGCUGUCAGAUCACCUGUGCACCAUCCUAUAUAAUAAAAAGGUUAGGAAGCAUUUCAGAAGCAGAGAGGACACAAUAUGGAGGCUUAUUCUUGCAUACAAGGUUGUUCAAGAAAAGCAAGUCCUUUGGCAAAUUUGCAAAACAAGAAUCAGUAAGUGGACCUCCAGUCUCCAAAGCAUGAUGGCACAGCAUUAAGUUCAAAAGCUCUAGUAUUUGUAGCAAGUGAUAUUCCAUUUACAACCGGACACCAAAAGAUGUCAAGCAUGCACACAAAAUGUAACCUUGAAGCAAAAGAGGAGCUCUCAAUCAAUAGCUUGGAUAUUGUGUUUCUUAUGCCAAUGGGAAUCUGUUUUUAGCUUCGUUUCCUUCAA